UGGGUUGUGUGCAUGUGUGCCUGUGUGUGCCUGUGUGUCUGUGUGGUGUCUGUGUGUGUGGGAGGGUGUGUGUCAGUGCAUGUGUUCAUGUUGGUGUCUGUGUGUCAGUGCAUGGGUGAGUGUGUGUGUGUGCAUGUGUGUAUGUGUGGUGUCUCUGAGUCUGUGGGGGGGUGUAUGUGUGGUGUCUGAGUCUGUGCAUGUGGUGUGCCUGUGCAUGUGUGUGUGUGACGUGGCAUGGUGUGUGUGCAUGCAUAGGUAUAUUCCUGUGUGUGCAUGUGUGGUUAGUGUAGAGGGUGAUGUUGCACUUGGCAGUUUGGCAGCAUUUGCAAAUGGCUGCUCCAGUCCUCCUGUGUGCUGUGCAGGGAGCAUGGCCCUUGGUGUGCGCGGCGGUGAGGCAGGAGCCUGGCAGGUGCUGUCAGGCCGCGGAGGCCAUUGGCAGCUCCAGGGCCGAGCAGGGGAGGCGGGCUCUAGUGCGCAAGCGCAGGCUGGUCUCCUGGGCUUGGGGCCUAGCAGAUGUGGGGCCCGGGUCGAGUGCCGAGUCCCAGCUGGCCAGCACCUCAGCGGGCCCGGGAAGAGGGACCGGACCAAGGCCUCUGCGAAGGGAAGUGAGCUGAGCGGCCAGGAAGGGAGAGGAGCCCCGCGGGAGGACAGCGGCUGAGCGAGGCAAAUCUCAUCAAGAAGAAAGAAAAGCCAUAUAUAAAAAAGGCAGUAACUGUGGCUGGACCUGUGGUUUAAGCCUCUGCAUGUGGAAGAAAAGUGCUCCUUCAUGGCCCUCCUUGGGUGACUUACAUGACCGUGUGGCCUCACAGAGGUGUUCAGCUGUGUAAAGGGCAGGAGGCGUCUGUCAGCUGGAUACCAGGCUCCGAUGGACUUGUUGUUGGGUACGGUAUUUUUAUAUAUCACUUGCAUCCUCUGCAUUGAUUAUAUUAUUCAUAUCUGCGACAUUCUUCCUGAUAUUUUGCCUUGCUGUCCUACCACUUGCUGAAGGUGAGACUGUUGAAGACAGAAACUGUAACUGUACAUUUGUCUAUUCAGCUCAAGCAGUUUUGAUCCAUGUAUUUGCAAAAUGUUACUUGAUGGGUUAAUAGUUAGAUUUGUUUGUUGUUCUUGAUGGAUUUGAUCUGCUUAUCAUUAUAGAUGUCCUUCUUCAUUUCUAAUUAUGCCUCUUCCCAAAGUAAUUUUAUCCAAUAUUAUUGUUGCCAUCACUCUUUUUAAAAAUUACUGGAUUGUAUUUUUCCCACUAAGUACUUUAAAUCUACCAAUGUAGUUGUUAGAAAGUAAGUUUUGUGUGUCUGUAGUUGGAUAUUUUUACAUCUACUCUGCCAAUCCCUUUUAAUUGGCAUUUAGAUUAUUUCUAUUUAUGGUGAUUAUUGACACAUUUUUUGUUCUUUCUUCUUGAAAAACUGCCAUUAAAGAUAAGCUUACUAGUGAAAAGUUUUAUUUUACUUUUCCUUCACCUUAGAAUGUUUUUCUUUUUCCUAAGUGGUGAACUCUGCAUUGACCUCAAGGUUAAUUCAUAGUAAUUCUACAUAAAAGAAAGACAGCAGAUAAAUCCAAACAAUGAACAUGGUUGUAAACCAGAUCAGAACUAUACAGACAUGCCCCUGUACAAAGGCAGAUUUCUGAUGUGUUGAUCCCCAUCUCUUUUCCCCGAGGAUAACUCAUGAAUACUGACACCAGAAGCCUCUGAUUGCGUGUGUGUGAGACCUUGGUCUCCAGCGCCCUUGCACAAAUGUCACACCCCUGGACAUGAGUUGGCUGGCUUCCAGGCUUUCAAGGAUAUGCUGUAUUCAGCUCAGGACCAGGCACCUUCUGUGGAAGGCAAGAUGAAUUAACUCCUAAGUUUAGUCACAGAAAACCACUUUUUAAGGAAAGAUAUUUUAAACUGCACAGUAUAAAACUGUUAUGAAUACCUGCCAUAUUAUAUGGCUCUUUCUUGCUUUUGAUAAUAUAUGUUACAUGAGGGCUAGCACUGUGCCGUAGUAGAUAAUAUGUAUUACAAUUAUUAUGUAUAUAAAGAAUUUUUUAAAGAUGUAUUUAUUUAUUUGAAAGAGUAACACAGAGAGAGGAGAGGCAGAAAGAGAGAGAGAGAGAGGUCUUCCAUCUGGUGAUACUCUCCCCAAUUGGCCACAACAGACUGAGCUGCGCCGAUCCGAAGCCAGGAGCCAGGAGCUUCUUCCAGGGCUCCCAUGUGGGUGCAGGGGACCAAGGACUUGGGCCAUCUUCUGCUUUCCCAGGCCACAGCAGAGAGCUGGAAGGGAAGUGGAGCAGCUGGGACUAGAACCGGUGCCCAUAGGGGAUGCCGGUGCUUCAGGCCAGGACGUUAACCCACUGUGCCACAGCGCUGGCCCCAAUUAUUUUAUAUUUAAAUUCAUAGUUUUCCUUUGUCUAGCUUGCAUUUAUCCUAUAAUACAUCUUUUAUUAUGUGUUACUGUCACUUGAAGACUGUGAAUCACACAUACUGAUACAGUCAGAUUUCUUUCUGCGACUUGCUUUCUUCCUCUGAUGUAUUUUUUUAAAGAUUUAUUUAUUUAUUUAUUCAAAAGUCAGAUUU